rnacentral:snRNA from 1 species
UGCUUGUUUUGGCAGCAAUAAAAUAAAAUUGUACCGAUAAAGAGAAGAUUAGCGUGGCCCCUGCCCAAGAAUGACUCAAAUUUGUGGAGUUCUCUAUUUUC